ACUGCCCGCCCGCGCCCGGCCAGACGGCGGCACAGGGCCAGGCAGCGGCUCUGGGCGCGCUCCGUGCUACAGCUCCCGUGGGAAACGCCGCUGGACCAACUUCCAGCUCUGUUACCMUACUAAAACAUGCAUUCUACACAAAUGAGUGUGUCAGACCAAGCCUGCGUGAUGCGGAAUGUUCAGGUACCUGUCAGUCAGACUGUGCUGCUGCAAACCCAGCCUAUGAGCCAGCCUAUGAGCAAGAGGAAUGACAUUGUUUUCAGUGUGAAGAACUUUACACAGACCUCUCCUUUGGGAAUCAGAUGAUCAGAUCUUUCAGCACACUUCCAGUUGACUCAGAGGUGAGCAGUUAGGUGGAUUAAAUAAAAAAAAACAAACCCAUAGUCUGCUGAAUAG